CACACACCACCCCACACAUCAACAAAAUGAAGUGGAUGAAGAUCGUCUACACAUCUCUACAAGCUUGUUAGUGAUUACAGAAAGGAACUUGGUGCUGUUUCGCUCUCCAGGACCUGUCAGGCUUAAUUAAUUAAUUACCGUGGUGCCAAUCAUUUUGAAGUCAAUGUUUUGUGGGGAAACAUGUAGCACUAAAACUAUAGAACAUCACUGUCCAGCAGAGUCCUCAACACAGCGCACACAUCAGGACCACAGGGCUGGACAGCUGGACCAGACAAAGAGCUUCCCUGGGCUUCUGGAACGAUCAACUGAAGACAUACAGUAUCAAGCACAACUCAGCCGUUGUUUAGAAGUCUGCUCGGUCUCCUGUUUGUCUGGCUGUAAAAAGGAAUUCAUGCAGAGUCUAUGAACUGGUGAUCUUUC